rnacentral:rRNA from 1 species
GACGAACGCUGGCGGCGUGCUUAACACAUGCAAGUCGAACGGUAAGGCCUCGGGUACGACGAGUGGCGGACGGGUGGAGUAACGACGUAGGGAGUCUGUCUAGGGGUGGUGGGACGAACUCGGGGAAACGUCGAGCUAAUACCACAUACGUUUUAGUAUGUAAAAGUUUAAAAGAAAGGCGGGUGCAAUACCUGUUGCUCUUAGGUGAACCUGCGUUGGAUUAGCUAGUUGGUGGGGUAAAGGCCCUACCAAGGGCGACGAUUCCAUAGCUGUUCUGAGAGGAAGAUCAGCCACACUGGGACUGAGACACGG